AACUCUCUCUCUUUCUCCUCUCCACUCCUAGUCGCGUUUUCUGGGGUCUUCUUUGUCUGGUCAUAUCUUCCUCCACAGGCCUCCAAUCGACAUGAUUCCAAAAGCAAUUUUUCUCGUCUUGACGUCGUCUAUAACUUCUCAGAAGACAUCGGGGUGAAAAACGAACUGUGGAGGGCGCUGUGAGGCCGAGAAGCCGCACAGCUCGAGCUGGAAAUCACCUCCCUUCACCGGCUGAUAUCUCCCACGUCCGGCGUCCAAUCGACUUGAUUCCAGUUGGGCUAGGAUCGCCUCCCCCUCCUCUACACGUUGGUACUUGUGGGUCUCUGCGAUUUGAUCGGAAAACCACGAAUUCCGGCAAUCACUGUUACUGUAGCAGUUGCAGUUUUCUGGAAAAUCUCCAGAUUCCGGCCACCUACGGCGGUAAACCUUAGUCCAUUGGAAGCGCCUUGAGAUGUAGAUGAUGGUCCAUGAACCUUUUACAGCAAUUUGAAGAGAGAAGGAAGGAUCGAAGGUUUGAAAUUAUGGGUCACUAUUCACAAAUCGGGUUCAAACUUCUCCUUAAUUGUUAAGGGCGAUGUACAUAGCUCGAUGAAGGAACUCGUAUGCGUGGUCGCCUGUAUAGUACUUGUGCAGGCGAAAUUAGUUGAGGUCGGGCGUACAUGGAGUUGAGGCAUAGUCAACAGCAUGGCUUCCGCGUUUUCCUUUGAAUUACGUUUUUCUUGUUUACAUUUUUUAUUAGAAUUGCUCUGAUUACCUAUGGGAUUAAUGUUAUUAAGUUGAGAUUUGUGUAAUGUGAAUUGAAAGAUGUUGUGAUUUGGGGAGCAGGGUGGCUCCAGGAGAAUAAGGAUGGGUG